rnacentral:rRNA from 1 species
UACGAAGGGGGCUAGCGUUGCUCGGAAUCACUGGGCGUAAAGCGCACGUAGGCGGAUUGUUAAGUCGGGGGUGAAAUCCUGGAGCUCAACUCCAGAACUGCCUUCGAUACUGGCAGCUUCGAGUCCGGGAGAGGUGAGUGGAACUGCGAGUGUAGAGGUGAAAUUCGUAGAUAUUCGCAAGAACACCAGUGGCGAAGGCGGCUCACUGGCCCGGUACUGACGCUGAGGUGCGAAAGCGUGGGGAGCAAACAGGG